AAAGUCGUAACAAGGUUUCCGUAGGUGAACCUGCGGAAGGAUCAUUACCGAGUGUCGGGCCCCCCGGGGCCCAGCCUCCCACCCGUGUCUACCGUCCCUUGUUGCUUCGGCGGGCCCGCCCUUCAGGGUGGCCCGGCGGCCCUCGUGCCCCCGGGCUCCGCGCCCGCCGGAGACGUCCACAUGAACCCUUUGUGAAGGUUGCCGUCUGAGUGGAUAUGUCCAAUAAUAAUUAAAACUUUCAACAACGGAUCUCUUGGUUCCG
rnacentral:misc_RNA from 1 species